rnacentral:misc_RNA from 1 species
UGGGGAUCGUAUUCCAGGGACCUGCCCGAAACGCUACGCGUACUAGUGGCUCUACAAGAAUGUAACAACUCUUGUAUAUCUCAGGUGUGUGCCUCAUUAUGCUCUCCCGUCUGCAGGUGUUGGUGUGGAGAGCCUAGCACGAAGCCUCCACCAGAAGGGCAUCACCACUGAUGGCCUUUCUGUCUAUACCAAGGACUCGCUUCCCCAGGAGGAUGAAGAUCGCCUCAAGGAGCUUGUUAACUCACUUGGCCUCGGAUUUCCUUUGUGUCUAGAAGCGAGUUGAGAGCCAAAAAGUAUUCACAAUAUGCAUGUGUGAUGACACAUCUAUGAGGGAACUCAAAAGGAGAGACUUCCGGCGAGCGACUGCCACAGUACACAAUCCAAGACCUUUUCAGAGUGCUGUUUAAGACCGAGACGUAUCAACCAUGUUGAGCUAAUUCCCGAUACACAAAUGGCACCUUUAUAGCUGCCUAGGAAAAGUAAUUAUUUUAUUCGUCCUUAGACCUAUUACUUUUGGAUAUAGGGAAUUGUGAACUCACCGAUAUGUAAACUGAAAAUUGUCCUUUUCGCCGUGCCAGCAUCCAAGGUUUGUAUGAGAAGGAGACCCGCGCUGUGUGUUCUGCAUAUAUCCUGUUGAUCCAUUCUCAUGGGAUGUUUAGUUCCCUUCGUAUCGGCCCUGCCGAAGUGGGUGCGUACAAUGUUGGUAUUAUCACUCUAUCAUGUUGUUACAUUUGUUAUUUGUAUGAAUUACUGAUUGUCAUUCUGUUAAUGCCAGUUUCCUUUCUGCAUUCCUGAGAAUCCUGUCCGGAUAUCUUCGCUUAGAAAAGAAACUCGAGAGAUCAUUUACACCUUCUCACGUCUGUUACCCUCACUCGCUGUUCUUUUUAACCUUAUUGCCAGUGAGUACAGUAAGGAGUGUGUGAAUGAUGGUGAGUGGCAUAAAUGUACCUUACCUUGAGGUUACCUUGAGGUGCUUCCGGGGCUUAGCGUCGCUUGGAACUUUUAUAUGGAUCCCCAUCCGCACCCCCAUUGUUGUUAUCUAGAUACACAUAUGUGUUUAAGAAGGCCAGCUCCAUUUCACUGCUUUCUAAUGUAAAAUUAAAAUUCCCAUGAACUCCAUUAAAACAGUCAAAAAAAUUCUGAAGGUCUUGUUCACCUCCCUCGCUGUCAUGCCAAAAACGUUAUUGCUGUAUCUGCAGUAGAUACAGUGGUUGUGGGGUAGUAGAGGGGUUGUGGGGGCGUGCUGUUCUCUGAGCUCUUCCAACACGUACUCUCUGUACGCAAGUUUCCACCACUGAGAUGCUGGUGCUUCCGUCUACUGCUGUGCUUGUGAUUUGCCUGUAAGCCCUCCCACUGAAAUGUAGCAACGUGUCUCUCAUUAUGUGUAAUAUACAUUCUUCUAGCAGGGCUCUGGGUGGUGGUCUCCUGUCUGAUGCCUCCUGCAGUUCUACUUGGAUUUGUCCCUUGAGUGUCGAAAAAGGUCGCAAUCUACCGUGCCUCUCUGGGGAAUGCUGGGGUACAAGGACACCCUGUCCAGAGGAUGAAGGUCUGCCCCUAAUGGAAUAGGUUCCCUGUGGUUUUGUGAUCUGGCCAGAAAGUCCAUAACAUCCUUCAGGCGUUCCAGCAAGAGACCCAAAAGGUCGCGAAGAGUGCCAUGUGUAUCAGAUCUACGGGCCACGUUGACGCCCCACAGCCACUCAGUAUGGACCUUCCUGACCAUGUGUGCAUCUGGAUUUAAUGAUUUAUGUAUUUUUGGCAGGACGUAUGGUGGCGGUAUUGCGUGUGAAAAUGUUAUGAAUGCAUCCCUGGCCGCUGCUGUGAGGAGUCCCUCUGUACCGUUUGUGUUGGAGUAUACUGUCAGUACCGAGUUCCGACUUCUUUCCUUGUGCGUUUCCCACUGCCUCUCCUAGAAUUGUAUCAGAUGGUUUGUGGGAGCAUCUAGUUGGCGGAGGCCUUCCCGCCUGUAGUUCUCCGUUCCCCAUACUGCCAUUGUCGCCCCUUUGUCGGUUACUUUAAUCACUAUGUCCGUCCUAUUGUUUAGUUCCAUAAGGGCAUCCCACUCUAUCUUUGUAGGAUUUUGCCCGACUACAGAGCAGGGUUUCUCCCCAACCUCUCCUCUUAAAAAAACGUCGCUUUUGGCCGUUUGCCCGUAUGGCCAAAAGUGGACGUAAUUUGAAAAUGAAAAAAAAUUAAAAUAAAUUUGAGAUUUUUUUUUCAACACCAGUAAGAUAAGGGUCCUCUGAUAGGUU